UCCGGUUUGUCACCGGCGGUCUCCUUAGAGUUCCCACCAUUACGUGCUGGCAACUAAGGACAAGGGUUGCGCUCGUUGCGGGACUUAACCCAACAUCUCACGACACGAGCUGACGACAGCCAUGCAGCACCUGUGUUCCGGUUCCCGAAGGCACCCCCCGAUCUCUCAGGGGUUCCGGACAUGUCAAGGCCAGGUAAGGUGGGGAUGACGUCGUAUCUCAC
rnacentral:misc_RNA from 1 species